rnacentral:rRNA from 1 species
CUACGAGUCGCUGCAGUGGGGAAUAUUGCACAAUGGGGGAAACCCUGAUGCAGCAACGCCGCGUGGAGGAUGACACAUUUCGGUGCGUAAACUCCUUUUAUAGGUCAAGAUAAUGACGGUAGCCUAUGAAUAAGCGCCGGCUAACUCCGUGCCAGCAGCCGCGGUAAUAAGGAGGGCGCAAGCGUUACUCGGAAUCACUGGGCGUAAAGAGCAUGUAGGCGGGUUAAUAAGUCAGAAGUGAAAUCCAAUAGCUCAACUAUUGAACUGCUUUUGAAACUGUUAACCUAGAGUGUGGGAGAGGUAGAUGGAAUUUCUGGUGUAGGGGUAAAAUCCGUAGAGAUCAGAAGGAAUACCGAUUGCGAAGGCGAUCUACUGGAACAUUACUGACGCUGAGAUGCGAAAGCGUGGGGAGCAAACAGGAUUAGAUACCCCCGUAGUC